UACGUAGGGUGCAAGCGUUGUCCGGAAUUAUUGGGCGUAAAGAGCGUGUAGGCGGCCUGACAGGUCUGCUGUGAAAACUCGAGGCUCAACCUCGAGAUGUCGGCGGAAACCGUCUGGCUAGAGUCCGGAAGAGGAGAGUGGAAUUCCUGGUGUAGCGGUGAAAUGCGCAGAUAUCAGGAGGAACACCGAUGGCGAAGGCAGGUCUCUGGGCAUUAACUGACGCUGAGGAGCGAAAGCAUGGGGAGCGAACAGG
rnacentral:rRNA from 1 species